UUGGAGGGCAAGUCUGGUGCCAGCAGCCGCGGUAAUUCCAGCUCCAAUAGCGUAUAUUAAAGUUGUUGCAGUUAAAAAGCUCGUAGUUGAAUUUCGAGACCGGCUUACUGGUCGUGCUAUUGUACGUACUGGUAUAAUCGGUUUCUCCUUUCUGACGAACUAUAAUGCCAUUAAUUUGGUGUUUUAGGGAAUCAGGACUGUUACUUUGAAAAAAUUAGAGUGUUUAAAGCAGGCUCACGCUUGAAUACAUUAGCAUGGAAUAACGGAAUAGGACGUUUGAUUCUAUUUUGUUGGUUUCUAGGAUCGACGUAAUGAUUAAUAGGGAUAGUUGGGGGCAUUAGUAUUCAAUUGUCAGAGGUGAAAUUCUUGGAUUUAUUGAAGACUAACUACUGCGAAAGCAUUUGCCAAGGAUGUUCUCAUUAAUCAAGAACGAAAGUUAGGGGAUCGAAGACGAUCAGAUACCGUCGUAGUCUUAACCAUAAACUAUGCCGACUAGGGAUCGGAUGAUGUUAAUUUUUUAAUGACUCAUUCGGCGCCUUACGGGAAAC
rnacentral:rRNA from 1 species